rnacentral:misc_RNA from 1 species
AUUUUUUUAUUUUUUUAUUUUUUUUAAAUCUCUUCAAGCAGUUUCUUUGAAGGCUUUGAUGCACUCAGGAUUUAAAGUUAUUGUUAUUGUUCUUACUUCUCUUACACUUUCUCUUAUAUAGAAGGAAUCCUGCUAAUGUUGCUUUCAAAUUUGCCACUUAUGUUAUUGCAGGUAAGAAGGCAUGUUGCAAUGAGACUUCCCUUUGUUGAUGCAUUCCUGUUGAAAAUUAAGAAGAA